ensembl:ncRNA mir-10404-4 mir-10404-4 stem loop
AUACAUUUAUUGAAGGAAUUGAUAUAUGCCAGUAAAAUGGUGUAUUUUUAAUUUCUUUCAAUAAAAACA